AUGAUGCCUUGUGAUUUCUUUGCUACCACCUUGCAUUACAUGAUGCCAUCUGUUAAAGUAGAUUUGAAAAAGUAUUUGCUUGGAUAUGAUCAUAUAUACCCUGUUAGUGGCAUUACUCACAUUAAUGAUGAUCACAAUUACUUCCCUUGUGCUAGACCUAUGCUUAAUGAAACAUAUCAUUCUUAUGCUAGUCUUGAGCUUAAUGAAAAAUAUCAUCCUCAUGUUAGUGUUGACUUUGCUCAUUUCUACCAUUCUAAACAUGUGCUUUAUAGCUAUGCUUAUGUAAUUGGGUACUCUAUUGAUGAUUUAGAGGGCAUCUACCCUAUCACUUGUAGUUGUUGUUUGUGUGAGUCCUAUUUCAGGUUUUUGCUUGUGCACGAAUCAAUACAUGCUGACCAAGUUCGAGAUGACAUUCCCUGGGACCCUGGUGGACCCAUGGCAUGGGGAUGA
rnacentral:rRNA from 1 species